rnacentral:ncRNA from 1 species
AUACCACUCUGGAAGAGCUAGAAUUAUAACCUUGUGUCAGGACCUAUGGGCCAAGGGACAGUCUCAGGUAGACAAUUUCUAUGGGGUGUAGGCCUCCCAAAAGGUAACAGAGGCAUGCAAGGGUUUCCUCGGGCUGGAUGGAAAUUGGCCCUCGAGUGCAAAGGAAGAAGGGAGCUUGACUGCAAGACCCACCCGUCGAGCAGGGAUGAAAUUCGGCCUUAGUGAUCCAACGGUACCGAGUGGAAGGGUCGUCGCUCAAUGGAUAAAAGUUACUCUAGGGAUAACAGGAUGAUCUUCCCCAAGAGUUCACAUCGACGGGAAGGUUUGGCACCUCGAUGUCGGCUCUUCUCCACCUGGGGCGGUAGUACGUUCCAAGGGUUUGGUUGUUCGCCCAUUAAAGUAGUACGUGAGAUGGGUUUAGAAUGUCAUGAGACAGUUCAAUCCAUAUCCGGUGUGUGCGUUAGAGCAUUGAGAGGACCUUUCCCUAGUACGAGAGGACCGGGAAGGAUGCACCUCUGGUGUACCAGUUAUCGUGCCCACGGUAGACGCUGGGUAGCCAAGUGCA